ACAUUAUUUAAUUAAACAUAGUAUAAUAGCUAGUUAUUAUUAAGCUUAAUAUUAUGACAUGAGUUUUUAUAGUAAAUAAUAUGACAGUUAAGGUUAUACUUACUAUUUGAAAAUGUUAAUAUUAGUAGUAUAGGUAAAUGUAUUAAAGGAACUCGGCAAAUAACUUCUCAACUGUUUAUCAAAAACAUAGCUAUAUGAAUUAAUAUAUAGUUAUUUCUGCUCCAUGAUUAUUAAAUAGCCGCAGUACCCUGACUGUGCAAAGGUAGCAUAAUCAGUUGGCUCUUAAUUAGGGUCUGGUAUGAAAGAAAAUAUGGGUAGUAACUGUCUUAAUAUAUUUAUUUGAAAUUAAUAGGCAAGUGCAAAUACUUGCAUACAUAAAAAAGACGAGAAGACCCUAGAAACUUGAAAUGGGUUUUGUUGGGGCGACAGAAUUACACUUAACUAAUUUUAUGGGACAUGACACGAAGUUGAAAGAAUAAGUUACUCUAGGGAUAACAGCAUAAUUUAAAUAGUUUGUGACCUCGAUGUUGGACUAGGUAUUAUACCUUUAAGGUAAAGUUAUAAAAUGCUCUGUUCGAGCAUAUACACCUACAUGAUCUGAGUUCAGACCGG
rnacentral:rRNA from 1 species